UCCGAGUUGACCCCGGCAGUCUCCUGCGAGUCCCCGCCAUUACGCGCUGGCAACACAGGACAAGGGUUGCGCUCGUUGCGGGACUUAACCCAACAUCUCACGACACGAGCUGACGACAGCCAUGCACCACCUGUAUACCGACCACAAGGGGGGCCGUAUCUCUACGGCUUUCCGGUAUAUGUCAAACCCAGGUAAGGUGGGGAUGACGUGAGAGAGUACGUCC
rnacentral:misc_RNA from 1 species